GGAAAGUUGGCUGAGUUGGACUAAGGCACACGCCUGGAGAGCGUGAGUGGGAGCAAUCCCACCGUGGGUUCGAAUCCCACACUUUCCG
rnacentral:tRNA from 1 species